AGAGUAAACGAACGAUUCAAGCUCCUUACAGAAGGCAGUUCAGCUUGAUAACUCGAUAAGCUGUAUUGACAGAACAAAACCACUCUUUCAAAGGUGGGAUCAAUCCCAACCUAUUCUUCUUAGCCUAACAGUCUAUUCGUGGAAGUAAAUUAUCCAAAAAGUCUCCUUACUAGACCUAACAUCCUGUCAUCGCUUUCAGAUACAAGGAAGUUGGACUAGUUAUUAGACCAACUAUCUCACGCUCUCUCUCUCAAACCCAGCCAAAGGUGAUACAAGGAAGUUGGACUAAUUAUUAUACCAACUAUCUCACGCUCUCUCUCUCAUACCCAGCCAAAGGAGCACAUCUAGUUGAAAGACUCUCAUUCUUAUUUAGAAUGGGAAGAUCUUUCAGUUCGUAAAAGCUUAAGCUUAAGAGCUUUAUCCAUAAGUAAUGAGAGGAGACUUUUAGAAAAACCUCAUGCCUUCUCUGGAGACAGAGAUCUUACUGCUA
rnacentral:lncRNA from 1 species